UGCGUUACCGGCCGGGCAAAGUCCCUUGGAACAGGGCAGCCGAGACCCUGCGACUCCCCUACGCCCGGCCUCUGGAGCGAGUGUCAACGAGUCGAGUUGUUUGGGAUUGCAGCUCAAAGUGGGUGGUAAAUUCCAUCUAAGGCUAAAUAUGGGUGGGAGACCGAUAGCGUACAAGUACCGUGAGGGAAAGAUGCAAAGAACUUUGAAAAGAGAGUUAAAGAGUACCUGAAAUUGCUGAAAAGGAAGCGAAGGAAACCAGUGCCAGCUGAGUCAUACUUCCCCGCUCGCUUGCGGAUGGGGCGCUGUGGCCAGCGUUGUCAGGCUUGGUCGGACUGGGCGUACAUGCUUUCGGGGAGUUGACCCGAUGAGCGGGCGUCCGGCAGGACUGAGGUUGACGAAAUGGUUUUCUUUUUCCCGUCUAGAAACACGGACCAAGGAGUCUAACAUAUGUGCGAGUACAGGGGUGGCAAACCCCGGUGCGCAAUGAAAGUGACAGNGGCUGGAAGUUUGCACAGUCCGCCGGCCUCAAUCCCUCGGGAGAACGGUCUGAGU
rnacentral:rRNA from 1 species